rnacentral:rRNA from 1 species
CCUACGGGUGGCAGCAGUGGGGGAUAUUGCACAAUGGGGGGAACCCUGAUGCAGCGACGCCGCGUGGGUGAAGAAGCGCCUAGGCGCGUAAAGCUCUGUCAGUAGGGAAGAAAAUGACGGUACCUGAAGAAGAAGCUCCGGCUAACUACGUGCCAGCAGCCGAGGUAAGACGGAGGGGGCAAGCGUUAUCCGGAUUUACUGGGUGUAAAGGGGGCGCAGACGGCGAUGCAAGCCAGGAGUGAAAGCUCGGGGCCCAACCCCGAGACUGCAGUUGGAACUGCGAGGCUGGAGUGCAGGCGGGGCAGGCGGAAUUCGUGGUGUAGCGGUGAAAUGCGUAGAUAUCAGGAGGAACACCGGUGGCGAAGGCGGCCUGCUGGACUGCAACUGACGUUGAGGCCCGAAAGCGUGGGGAGCAAACAGGAUUAGAUACCCGGGUAGUC